rnacentral:rRNA from 1 species
UUGAACGCUGGCGGCAUGCUUUACACAUGCAAGUCGAACGGUAACGCGGGGGGUAACCCCUGGCGACGAGUGGCGAACGGGUGAGUAAUACAUCGGAACAUGUCCUGGAGUGGGGGAUAGCUCGGCGAAAGCCGGAUUAAUACCGCAUACGCUCUGAGGAGGAAAGCGGGGGACCUGGUAACGGGCCUCGCGCUGCGGGAGUGGCCGAUGUCGGAUUAGCUGGUAGGUAGGGAAAGGCCUACCUAGGCGACGAUCCGUAGCUGGUCUGAGAGGAUGAUCAGCCACACUGGGACUGAGACACGGCCCAGACUCCUACGGGAGGCAGCAGUGGGGAAUUUUGGACAAUGGGGGCAACCCUGAUCCAGCCAUGCCGCGUGAGUGAAGAAGG